UAAAGAAUUAUCGCUGAUAGAUGGGCAUGCGUUCCAUUAGAUAGUUGGUGAGGUAACGGCUCACCAAGUCCACGAUGGAUAGGGGUUCUGAGAGGAAGGUCCCCCACACUGGUACUGAGACACGGACCAGACUCCUACGGGAGGCAGCAGUGAGGAAUAUUGGUCAAUGGGCGAGAGCCUGAACCAGCCAAGUCGCGUGAAGGAUGAAGGAUCUAUGGUUUGUAAACUUCUUUUAUAUGGGAAUAAAGUGAGGAACGUGUUCCUUUUUGUAUGUACCAUAUGAAUAAGCAUCGGCUAACUCCGUGCCAGCAGCCGCGGUAAUACGGAGGAUGCGAGCGUUAUCCGGAUUUAUUGGGUUUAAAGGGUGCGUAGGUGGUUAAUUAAGUCAGCGGUGAAAGUUUGUGGCUCAACCAUAAAAUUGCCGUUGAAACUGGUUGACUUGAGUAUAUUUGAGGUAGGCGGAAUGCGUGGUGUAGCGGUGAAAUGCAUAGAUAUCACGCAGAACUCCGAUUGCGAAGGCAGCUUACUAAACUAUAACUGACACUGAAGCACGAAAGCGUGGGGAUCAAACAGGAUUAGAUACCCUGGUAGUCCACGCAGUAAACGAUGAUUACUAGCUGUUUGCGAUACACAGUAA
rnacentral:rRNA from 1 species